rnacentral:rRNA from 1 species
AAAGAAACUAACAGGAUUCCCCUAGUAACUGCGAGUGAAGCGGGAAAAGCUCAAAUUUAAAAUCUGGCAGCCUUUGGUUGUCCGAGUUGUAGUCUGGAGAAGCGUUUUCCGUGCCGGACCGUGUAUAAGUCCCUUGGAAUAGGGCGUCAUAGAGGGUGAGAAUCCCGUCUUUGACACGGACUACCGGUGCUUUGUGAUGCGCUCUCAAAGAGUCGAGUUGUUUGGGAAUGCAGCUCAAAAUGGGUGGUAAAUUCCAUCUAAAGCUAAAUAUUGGCGAGAGACCGAUAGCGAACAAGUACCGUGAGGGAAAGAUGAAAAGCACUUUGGAAAGAGAGUUAAACAGUACGUGAAAUUGCUGAAAGGGAAACGCUUGAAGUCAGUCGCGUUAUGCAGAACUCAGCCUGGCUUUUGCUUGGUGUAUUUUCUGUAUGACGGGCCAGCAUCAAUUUUGGCCGCUGGAAAAAGGCUCUAGAAAUGUGGCACCUCCGGGUGUGUUAUAGUCUAGGGUCAUAUACAGCGGCUGGGAUUGAGGUCUGCAGCACGCCUUUAUGGCUGGGGUUCGCCCACAUUCGUGCUUAGGAUGCUGGCGUAAUGGCUUUAAACGACCCGUCUUGAAACACGGACCAAGGAGUCUAACAUGCCUGCGAGUGUUUGGGUGGAAAACCCGAGCGCGCAAUGAAAGUGAAAGUUGAGAUCCCUGUCGCGGGGAGCAUCGACGCCCGGACCAGACCUUUUGUGACGGAUCUGCGGUAGAGCAUGUAUGUUGGGACCCGAAAGAUGGUGAACUAUGCCUGAAUAGGGUGAAGCCAGAGGAAACUCUGGUGGAGGCUCGUAGCGAUUCUGACGUGCAAAUCGAUCGUCAAAUUUGGGUAUAGGGGCGAAAGACUAAUCGAACCAUCUAGUAGCUGGUUCCUGCCGAAGUUUCCCUCAGGAUAGCAGAAACUCGUAUCAGAUUUAUGUGGUAAAGCGAAUGAUUAGAGGCCUUGGGGUUGAAACAACCUUAACCUAUUCUCAAACUUUAAAUAUGUAAGAACAAGCCGUCUCUUGAUUGGACCGCUUGGCGAUUGAGAGUUUCUAGUGGGCCAUUUUUGGUA